rnacentral:lncRNA from 1 species
GUUUGCUAGGCCCCAGCAUAGCCUUAUAAGAGACAGCUAUAUCUGGGUCCUUUCAGCAAAAUCUUGCUAGUGUAUGCAAUGGUGUCAGCGUUUGGAAGCUGAUUAUGGAAUGGAUCCCUGGAGAGUUUCAUUUCUUUGGGUAAGAUAGAGGUAGUGUGUGAGUGUGUGUGUAGUGUGAUGAUCCCCCUGUGUGUGUGUGUAUGUGUGUGUAGUAUGAUGAUCCCCCUAUGUGUGUGUAGUGUGAUGAUCCCCCUGUGUGUGUAUGUGUGUGUAUGUGUAGUAUGAUGAUCCCCCUGUGUGUGUAUGUGUGUGUAUGUGUAGUGUGAUGAUCCCUGUGUGUAUGUGUAGUGUGAUGAUCCCCCUGUGUGUGUAUGUGUGUGUAUGUGUAGUGUGAUGAUCCCUCUGUGUGUGUGUGUGUAGUGUGAUGAUCCCCGUGUGUGUGUGUUGUGAUGAUUCCCCUGUGUGUGUGUGUAUGUGUGUGUAGUAUGAUGAUCCCCCUGUGUGUGUAUGUGUGUGUAUGUGUGUGUAUGUGUAGUGUGAUGAUCCCUCUGUGUGUGAGUGUGUGUGUGUAGUGUGAUGAUCCUCCUGUGUGUGUGUGGUGUGAUGAUCCCCCUGUGUGUGUGUGUGUGUGUGUAGUCUGAUGAUCCUCCUAAUCAAGCUUGCUCAAACUGAGCUCACCAUGUAGCAGAGGGUGACCUUGAACUCUUGAGCUCUCUGCCUUCUCCCCAGCUGCUGAGAUUGCAGCCUGUGCUACCAUGGCCUUCAGCUUUCGUUUCCCUUUUCAGACGUUUUCUUGCACUUAAUAAAAAAAUCAUUCUCCAGGUGUGAUGGCGCAUACCUUUAAUCCCA